GUGAACGCUGGCGGUAGGCCUAACACAUGCAAGUCGAACGGCAGCACAGUAAGAGCUUGCUCUUACGGGUGGCGAGUGGCGGACGGGUGAGGAAUACAUCGGAAUCUACUUUUUCGUGGGGGAUAACGUAGGGAAACUUACGCUAAUACCGCAUACGACCUACGGGUGAAAGCAGGGGAUCCUCGGACCUUGCGCGAUUGAAUGAGCCGAUGUCGGAUUAGCUAGUUGGCGGGGUAAAGGCCCACCAAGGCGACGAUCCGUAGCUGGUCUGAGAGGAUGAUCAGCCACACUGGAACUGAGACACGGUCCAGACUCCUACGGGAGGCAGCAGUGGGGAAUAUUGGACAAUGGGCGCAAGCCUGAUCCAGCCAUACCGCGUGGGUGAAGAAGGCCUUCGGGUUGUAAAGCCCUUUUGUUGGGAAAGAAAAGCAGCAGGUUAAUACCCCGCUGUUCUGACGGUACCCAAAGAAUAAGCACCGGCUAACUUCGUG
rnacentral:rRNA from 1 species